rnacentral:rRNA from 1 species
CCUACGGGUGGCUGCAGUGGGGAAUAUUGGACAAUGGGGGCAACCCUGAUCCAGCCAUGCCGCGUGUGUGAAGAAGGCCCUCGGGUUGUAAAGCACUUUCAGUGAGGAAGAACGCCUGGUGGUUAAUACCCAUCUGGAAAGACAUCACUCACAGAAGAAGCACCGGCUAACUCCGUGCCAGCAGCCGCGGUAAUACGGAGGGUGCGAGCGUUAAUCGGAAUUACUGGGCGUAAAGCGCGCGUAGGUGGCUUGAUAAGCCGGUUGUGAAAGCCCCGGGCUCAACCUGGGAACGGCAUCCGGAACUGUCAAGCUAGAGUGCAGGAGAGGAAGGUAGAAUUCCCGGUGUAGCGGUGAAAUGCGUAGAGAUCGGGAGGAAUACCAGUGGCGAAGGCGGCCUUCUGGACUGACACUGACACUGAGGUGCGAAAGCGUGGGUAGCAAACAGGAUUAGAUACCCCUGUAGUC